rnacentral:rRNA from 1 species
GACGAACGCUGGCGGCGUGGAUUAGGCAUGCAAGUCGAACGGUAACAGGUCUUCGGAUGCUGACGAGUGGCGAACGGGUGAGUAAUACAUCGGAACGUGCCCGAUCGUGGGGGAUAACGGAGCGAAAGCUUUGCUAAUACCGCAUACGAUCUACGGAUGAAAGCGGGGGACCGUAAGGCCUCGCGCGAUUGGAGCGGCCGAUGUCGGAUUAGCUAGUUGGUGAGGUAAUGGCUCACCAAGGCGACGAUCGGUAGCUGGUCUGAGAGGAUGAUCAGCCACACUGGGACUGAGACACGGCCCAGACUCCUACGGGAGGCAGCAGUGGGGAAUAUUGGACAAUGGGCGCAAGCCUGAUCCAGCCAUGCCGCGUGAGUGAUGAAGGCCCUAGGGUUGUAAAGCUCUUUCGCCAGGGACGAUAAUGACGGUACCUGGAUAAGAAGCCCCGGCUAACUUCGUG